AGAGUUUGAUCCUGGCUCAGGAUGAACGCUAGCGGCAGGCUUAAUACACGCAAGUCGAGGGGCAUCGGGGGUAGCAAUACCUGCCGGCGACCGGCAAACGGGUGCGGAACACGUACACAACCUUCCUUUAAGCGGGGGAUAGCCCAGAGAAAUUUGGAUUAAUACCCCAUAGUAUGUUAGCGAGGCAUCUCGUUGACAUUAAAGAUUUAUCACUUGAAGAUGGGUGUGCGUCUGAUUAGGUAGUUGGCGGGGUAACGGCCCACCAAGCCAUCGAUCAGUAACUGGUGUGAGAGCACGACCAGUCACACGGGCACUGAGACACGGGCCCGACUCCUACGGGAGGCAGCAGUAAGGAAUAUUGGUCAAUGGACGCAAGUCUGAACCAGCCAUGCCGCGUGGAGGAUGAAGGUCCUCUGGAUUGUAACUUCUUUUAUUUGGAAGAAUGCAUUUUUUCU
rnacentral:rRNA from 1 species